rnacentral:rRNA from 1 species
AGAGUUUGAUCCUGGCUCAGAUUGAACGCUGGUGGUAUGCUUAACACAUGCAAGUCGAACGGUAACAUUGGAGCUUGCUCCAGAUGACGAGUGGCGGACGGGUGAGUAACGCGUAGGAAUCUGCCUAGUAGUGGGGGACAACAUGUGGAAACGCAUGCUAAUACCGCAUACGCCCUACGGGGGAAAGCGGGGGAUCUUCGGACCUCGCGCUAUUAGAUGAGCCUGCGUUAGAUUAGCUUGUUGGUGGGGUAAUGGCCUACCAAGGCGACGAUCUAUAGCUGGUCUGAGAGGACGAUCAGCCACACUGGGACUGAGACACGGCCCAGACUCCUACGGGAGGCAGCAGUGGGGAAUAUUGGACAAUGGGCGAAAGCCUGAUCCAGCAAUACCACGUGUGUGAAGAAGGCCUGAGGGUUGUAAAGCACUUUCAAUUGGGAGGAAAAAAGCUGGGUUAAUAGCCCUGCUCUUGACAUUACCUUUAGAAGAAGCACCGGCUAACUCCGUGCCAGCAGCCGCGGUAAUACGGAGGGUGCGAGCGUUAAUCGGAAUUACUGGGCGUAAAGCGUACGUAGGCGGUUAUUUAAGUCAGAUGUGAAAGCCCCGGGCUCAACCUGGGAACUGCAUUUGAAACUGGAUAACUAGAGUUUGAUAGAGGAGAGUAGAAUUUCUGGUGUAGCGGUGAAAUGCGUAGAGAUCAGAAGGAAUACCAGUGGCGAAGGCGGCUCUCUGGAUCAAAACUGACGCUGAGGUACGAAAGCGUGGGUAGCAAACAGGAUUAGAUACCCUGGUAGUCCACGCCGUAAACGAUGUCAACUAGCCGUUGGGUCCAAUUAAGGACUUAGUGGUGCAGCUAACGCAUUAAGUUGACCGCCUGGGGAGUACGGCCGCAAGGCUAAAACUCAAAUGAAUUGACGGGGGCCCGCACAAGCGGUGGAGCAUGUGGUUUAAUUCGACGCAACGCGAAGAACCUUACCUGGGCUUGACAUGCACGGGCAAGCUAUAGAGAUAUAGCCCCUCUUCGGAGUCCGUGUACAGGUGCUGCAUGGCUGUCGUCAGCUCGUGUCGUGAGAUGUUGGGUUAAGUCCCGCAACGAGCGCAACCCCUGCCUUUAGUUGCCAUCGGGUAAUGCCGGGAACUCUAGAGGGACUGCCGGUGAUAAACCGGAGGAAGGUGGGGAUGACGUCAAGUCCUCAUGGCCUUUAUGUCCAGGGCUACACACGUGCUACAAUGGCUGGUACAAAGAGUUGCGAGACCGCGAGGUGGAGCUAAUCUCAUAAAACCAGUCUCAGUUCGGAUUGGAGUCUGCAACUCGACUCCAUGAAGUUGGAAUCGCUAGUAAUCGUGAAUCAGCACGCCACGGUGAAUACGUUCCCGGGCCUUGUACACACCGCCCGUCACACCACGAAAGCUGAUUGUACCAGAAGUCACGAUGCCAACCCGCAAGGGAGGCUGUUGCCUAAGGUAUGGUUAGUGAUCAGGGUGAAGUCGUAACAAGGUAACC